CGGGUGAAAAACCCGUUCGCCGAAAGACCAAGGGUUCCAGUCCAACGUUAAUCGGGGCUGGGUGAGUCGACCCCUAAGGCGAGGCCGAAAGGCGUAGUCGAUGGGAAAAUGGUUAAUAUUCCAUUACUUCUGUGUAAUGCGAUGAGAGGACGGAGAAGGCUAAAUCAGCCUGGCGUUGGUUGUCCAGGUGAAAGGAUGUAGGCAUGUAUCUUAGGCAAAUCCGGGGUACUCUAUGCUGAGAUCUGAUAGCAAGCUGUACUUGUACAGCGAAGUGGUUGAUGCCAUGCUUCCAGGAAAAGUCUCUAAGCUUCAGUUACACAGGAAUCGUACCCGAAACCGACACAGGUGGUCAGGUCGAGUAGACCAAGGCGCUUGAGAGAACUCUGCUGAAGGAACUAGGCAAAAUGGUACCGUAACUUCGGGAGAAGGUACGCUGUUGUUGGUGAUGGAACUCGCUUCCUGAGCUGACGACAGCCGCAGAAACCAGGCCGCUGCAACUGUUUAUUAAAAACAUAGCACUCUGCAAACACGAAAGUGGACGUAUAGGGUGUGAUGCCUGCCCGGUGCUGGAAGGUUAAUUGAUGGGGUUAGCGUAAGCGAAGCUCUUGAUCGAAGCCCCAGUAAACGGCGGCCGUAACUAUAACGGUCCUAAGGUAGCGAAAUUCCUUGUCGGGUAAGUUCCGACCUGCACGAAUGGCAUAAUGAUGGCGGCGCUGUCUCCAGCAGAGGCUCAGUGAAAUCGAAAUCGCUGUGAAGAUGCAGUGUACCCGCGGCUAGACGGAAAGACCCCGUGAACCUUUACUGCAGCUUGACACUGAACUUUGACCUUACUUGUGUAGGAUAGGUGGGAGGCUUUGAAGCUGGAACGCUAGUUCCAGUGGAGCCGUCCUUGAAAUACCACCCUGGUAAUGUUGAGGUUCUAACUCUGUCCCGUGAUCCGGGACGAGGACCGUGUCUGGUGGGUAGUUUGACUGGGGCGGUCUCCUCCUAAAGAGUAACGGAGGAGUACGAAGGUGCGCUCAGCGUGGUCGGAAAUCACGCGUAGAGUAUAAAGGCAAAAGCGCGCUUAACUGCGAGACCCACAAGUCGAGCAGGUACGAAAGUAGGUCUUAGUGAUCCGGUGGUUCUGUAUGGAAGGGCCAUCGCUCAACGGAUAAAAGGUACUCUGGGGAUAACAGGCUGAUACCGCCCAAGAGUUCAUAUCGACGGCGGUGUUUGGCACCUCGAUGUCGGCUCAUCUCAUCCUGGGGCUGAAGCAGGUCCCAAGGGUAUGGCUGUUCGCCAUUUAAAGAGGUACGCGAGCUGGGUUUAGAACGUCGUGAGACAGUUCGGUCCCUAUCUACCGUGGGCGCUGGAAAUUUGAGAGGAUCUGCUCCUAGUACGAGAGGACCAGAGUGGACGAACCUCUGGUGUACCGGUUGUGACGCCAGUCGCAUCGCCGGGUAGCUAUGUUCGGAAGGGAUAACCGCUGAAAGCAUCUAAGCGGGAAGCCUACCUCAAGAUAAGAUUUCCCUAGGACUUUAUGUCCUCUAAAGAGCCGUUCGAGACUAGGACGUUGAUAGGUUGGAUGUGGAAGCAUAGUGAUAUGUGAAGCUGACCAAUACUAAUUGCUCGUGAGGCUUGACUAU
rnacentral:rRNA from 1 species